UUAAAAAGAUUAAAAUGGCAUUGGUAAUGGACCAUAGUCCAUGGGAUAUUAGUUUCUUACAGUGUAAACCGGGGGACAAAGAAAGUUAAAACUAUUAUCCUUUUCUUCCAUUCCUACCAGUUUUUGACUCUCUGGAACUGGAGCCGAACAUGGAAAUGAAGGCAAAUCUCUCACUCGACUUAAUCGCCGACAUCCUCAGCCGUUUACCCGUUAAGCAUCUUCUAUGCUUGCGAUGCGUUUCCAAGCUGUGGCGAUCUUUGAUCGACGAUCCCGAUUUCAUCAAUCUGCACCUCCGCCACUCCCUCGACUCCCGCACUAACCACACCCUCAUCCUCAAAAACACCGAUCUUCACACCGCCGAUCUCGCCUCCCUCGGCCCUUUCGCCAAGCUGGAACACCCUUUGAUGAGCUACAACCAUGGCGUCGAGAUCCAGGGUUCUUGCAACGGCUUGCUCUGUAUCCGUAACAUAGUUGAAGACAUGGCUAUUUGGAACCCUUCCACUAGGAAGUACCAAGUUUUACCUUAUCUCGGUUCUUGCAAGGGUUACGUCUGCGGAUUCGGGCACGACCCGAUUGCCGAUGAUUACAAGGUGGUUAAAAUUAUUCAGCUGGGUGGGGCUGAUGGUAAGCCUUUGGAAUCGGAGGUUAAAGUAUGCAGCUUGAAGAGAAAUAGGUGGAGGAAAAUUCAAGAUAUCCCUUGUGAUUCUUCCUUCCCUGUAGCCAAUGGGGUUUUUGCUAUUCUCACUCAAAAACUUGAUUUUUCGGAGGAAAAUACGAUUGUUGCGUUGGAUUUAGCUACUGAAAGUUUCAGGGAAGUGCCUCAACCGGAGUGCGAAAGAAUGAUAUAUCAAUUGAAUGUUGGAGUAUUGGGAGGAUGUUUAUGUGUGGUAGCUAAUCAUGGUGAUGCUCGAGUUGAUCUUUGGGUGAUGAAAGAAUAUGGGGUGAAGGAGUCUUGGACUAUACUAUUUUCUCUUGCAAGUGAAGAUGUGAUUGGUUCAUUGAGGUUUCUCAAGCCUCUGGCUUACUCUAGCUGUGGUAAUCAAGUUUUGUUGGAACAUGAUAAGAUAAAUCUUUUCUGGUAUGAUUUGGAAAAGAAGAAAGCUGAUGAUGUCUGGGUCCCUGGUAUGCCCUUUUCCUAUGAAACUGAGGUUUGCUUGCAAAGCCUUGUUUCACUUAAUGUCAAGAGAAGGCAGCAAAAUGGAGAGGAUAAUAGGGAUAUCAAAAAGAUGGAUGAUUUCCUAUCAGAGGGGUUCAAAUUAGUGUUAUAGUCAAGUGGGAAAAACAAGGAAAAAGGAUUGUUGGCCCUUGGUUCCUAGAUGAAAUUGUCAUAAGGGUGCAAUUUAGUAAAUUACUCAUCAACUCUAUUGAAACAUCAAGGUCUCCAUUCUAGCCAUUUUUAAUUUUCUUCUGAUUCCUGUUGAUUUUACCUUGUUAUAUAUUUUAACAAAAUCCUUGAAAGCAAGCUGACUUAAUGGUUUUUGUAAUGUCACUAAUAUAUACAUAGUUUCUUUCUGAUUGUUGAUGUGCUUGCAAGUAUGGAAUCAGGAUAACAUUGUGAUCCUGGUUGAGUAGCUAUGCUGAACCUGGUAUUUCGAGUUCAAGAACUUUUUUGCUGUUUGUGAUCCGACUCAUAGUUGCAUAUACAAAAUGUGCACUGGUCUUCUGGAGUGGAAGGUACCAAAAGUCCUAUCUUGGUUUCUUACCAGCUUAAAGUCUGUAAUUCUCAUAUCACCUCCAAAGGCAAUUCAAAAACAUUCUUGAAAGCGCAUCUGUCAUUACUUUCACUCCGAUACCGUGUAGAGUUUGACUGCUUUUGAGCGAGGAAGUGACGACAUGCUAUUCGAAGAAAGACAAGGCUUGAGUUCCAAUUCUCUUAGGGUUCUAGAAUUAAUGCAACUCAAAGCUAGGUUGUAGUAAUCAAUCAGAUUGCUUUCUUUUACUUUAGCUCCCGAGUUUCUGGCUCUGUUAUAUUUUUCCGCAGCAUGUGUUGCUGGGUGUUUUUUGGGUGAAAUACUAUUGUUUAAAGCAGAAGGAUGGAUGUUUGAUAAAA